UAGCAUCUACCUGUUAUUCAUAAAACAAAAAAAAAAAUCUAAAGUAGACAAACUCGAACCAAAAAUGUUUAAAUUAGACAAAAUCUAUGGCUGUAACUGGUUAUUCCUAAUAGGAAUACAUGGAAUAAAAGGAAUAAUUAUAUGUGGAAUAAAGAAAAUUGGAAUGAUCAACAAAAUGGAAUAAAAACUGAAAUUUGUUUUGGAAUUGGAAUUCCAAUCAUCCCACACAUUCACGAUCAUUUUUGAUAUGGAACAAAUGAAAAAGAUUUUACAAAGGAUUUGUUUUUAAGUUUUAUUCCAUUUUUGGAAUAUGUGGAAUUGAUUUCAAAAGGUUUUCCAUGUAACUGGUAAAUAUUUUUUGGAAUUCUGUGGAAUGAUGCAUUCCAAACAAUUCCAUUCCAAAAUUUAGCAUUCCAGUUGCAGCCUAUGUAAGAGUUGGAUUCAACUUCCAAAAAGAAGAAUCAUAUAUAAACAUAAGAAAAAAGUGGUUUACUAUCCAAGAAGUGGUAACAAAGUUGCUGAUAGAAUAGCGAAGGAGACUGUUAC
rnacentral:lncRNA from 1 species